CCCUUAGAGUUUGAUCAUGGCUCAGAUUGAACGCUGGCGGCAUGCCUUACACAUGCAAGUCGAACGGUAACAGGGAGCUUGCUCCGCUGACGAGUGGCGAACGGGUGAGUAAUACAUCGGAACGUGCCCAGUAAUGGGGGAUAGCUCGGCGAAAGCCGGAUUAAUACCGCAUACGCCCUGAGGGGGAAAGUGGGGGACCGCAAGGCCUCACGUUAUUGGAGCGGCCGAUGGCUGAUUAGCUAGUUGGUAGGGUAAAGGCCUACCAAGGCGACGAUCAGUAGCUGGUCUGAGAGGACGAUCAGCCACACUGGGACUGAGACACGGCCCAGACUCCUACGGGAGGCAGCAGUGGGGAAUUUUGGACAAUGGGGGAAACCCUGAUCCAGCAAUGCCGCGUGUGCGAAGAAGGCCUUCGGGUUGUAAAGCACUUUUGUCAGGGAAGAAAUCCUUUGGGCUAAUACCCUAGGGGGAUGACGGUACCUGAAGAAUAAGCACCGGCUAACUACGUGCCAGCAGCCGCGGUAAUACGUAGGGUGCAAGCGUUAAUCGGAAUUACUGGGCGUAAAGCGUGCGCAGGCGGUUGUGUAAGACAGGUGUGAAAUCCCCGGGCUUAACCUGGGAAUUGCAUUUGUGACUGCACGACUAGAGUGUGUCAGAGGGGGGUGGAAUUCCACGUGUAGCAGUGAAAUGCGUAGAUAUGUG
rnacentral:rRNA from 1 species